rfam:Gossypium raimondii Chr08_contig_1050, whole genome shotgun sequence.
GUCGUUCUAGUAUAGUGGUGAGUAUUCCCGCCUGUCGCGCGGGUGACCCGGGUUCGAUCCCUGGCAACGGCG